CCUACGGGCGGCAGCAGUGAGGAAUAUUGGUCAAUGGACGAGAGUCUGAACCAGCCAAGUAGCGUGAAGGAUGACUGCUCUAUGGGUUGUAAACUUCUUUUAUAUGGGAAUAAAAUGUUCCACGUGUGGGUUUUUGUAUGUACCAUAUGAAUAAGGAUCGGCUAACUCCGUGCCAGCAGCCGCGGUAAUACGGAGGAUCCGAGCGUUAUCCGGAUUUAUUGGGUUUAAAGGGAGCGUAGGUGGAUUGUUAAGUCAGUUGUGAAAGUUUGCGGCUCAACCGUAAAAUUGCAGUUGAAACUGGCAGUCUUGAGUACAGUAGAGGUGGGCGGAAUGCGUGGUGUAGCGGUGAAAUGCUUAGAUAUCACGAAGAACUCCGAUUGCGAAGGCAGCUCACUGGACUGCAACUGACACUGAGGCUCGAAAGUGUGGGUAUCAAACAGGAUUAGAUACCCGGGUAGUC
rnacentral:rRNA from 1 species